rnacentral:snoRNA from 1 species
AUGCAAUGAUGUAUUGAAUUUCUUCACCUGAAACUGCCUUGAUGUUUUAUUGAGCUUUUUAACCCUGAGCAUU